rnacentral:lncRNA from 1 species
CAGUGGCGGAUUCAGGGGGGGGGCGUAGAGGGCGUACGCCCCCCCCUUUGCUCGGACUUUUUUUUUUUUUUUUUUGUAAAAUUAUUUUAUCAGACUAGACUUCGUGAACUUUGCCAUUUCCCGAGUAUUUAAUUUUUAUACGACAAUUCUUUACUUAAUAUAAAGAUAUUUUUCGGUGGUAUUUACUGAUUGUCAAAGUCAUGUGAUUUGCUAUGGUGGAGUUGACCAGUGCGUUGAAAAAACGGCACACGACGGUCAUUUUGAAAUUAAAAUUACAGUAAUAAACAUUGCUUAGGCUGAGGAUGUCAUGACAAUCAGGAAACCUUCAAAGCAACACAGGAUUGAGCAAGAACGUAUUGACUUCUAUUUCACUAUUCCACCAAACAGAAAGUAAUAGUAAAUACUCUAUAGACUAUUGCACCCUCAAGAAAAAGAAAUUCCACAAUAUUAUUUACCUACGAAAACAUGUUUAACCCCAAAUGCACCAGCUUAUUUUAUAAAUAACAAAUUGAAUAAAGAACCCCUGUCACCCCGCCUCAUUUUUGCGCUUGUUCCAAGUCAGGAGCCUCUAGACUUUGUAAGUCUUGUAUUAUUUUAUUUUUAGUUUCUUGUGUACAAUUUGGAAAUUAGUAUGGCGUUCAUUAUCACUGAACUAUAUUUGUUAAGGGACC